rnacentral:rRNA from 1 species
CCUACGGGUGGCAGCAGUGAGGAAUAUUGGUCAAUGGGCGGGAGCCUGAACCAGCCAAGCCGCGUGAGGGAAGAAGGUCCAAUGUAUUGUAAACCUCUUUUGUCGGGGAGCAAAAGACGCGACUCGUCCCGUGCCGAGAGUACCCGAAGAAAAAGCAUCGGCUAACUCCGUGCCAGCAGCCGCGGUAAUACGGAGGAUGCGAGCGUUAUCCGGAUUUAUUGGGUUUAAAGGGUGCGCAGGCGGACGAUUAAGUCAGCGGUAAAAGCCAGAGGCUCAACCCCGGCGAGCCGUUGAAACUGGUUGGCUGGAGUGAGCGAGAAGUACGCGGAAUGCGCGGUGUAGCGGUGAAAUGCAUAGAUAUCACGCAGAACUCCGAUUGCGAAGGCAGCAUACCGGCGCCAAACUGACGCUCAUGCACGAAAGUGUGGGUAUCGAACAGGAUUAGAUACCCGAGUAGUC